rnacentral:rRNA from 1 species
AUUGAACGCUGGCGGCAUGCCUUACACAUGCAAGUCGAACGGCAGCACGGGGCAACCUGGUGGCGAGUGGCGAACGGGUGAGUAAUGCAUCGGAACGUGCCAUUGAGUGGGGGAUAACGUAGCGAAAGUUGCGCUAAUACCGCAUAUUCUGUGAGCAGGAAAGCAGGGGACCGCAAGGCCUUGCGCUCUUUGAGCGGCCGAUGUCAGAUUAGCUAGUUGGUGAGGUAACGGCUUACCAAGGCGACGAUCUGUAGCGGGUCUGAGAGGAUGAUCCGCCACACUGGAACUGAGACACGGUCCAGACUCCUACGGGAGGCAGCAGUGGGAAUUUUGGACAAUGGGCGCAAGCCUGAUCCAGCCAUGCCGCGUGAGUGAAGAAGGCCUCGG